AGUGAACGCUGGCGGUAGGCCUAACACAUGCGAGUCGAACGGCAGCACAGUAAGAGCUUGCUCUUACGGGUGGCGAGUGGCGGACGGGUGAGGAAUACAUCGGAAUCUACUUUUUCGUGGGGGAUAACGUAGGGAAACUUACGCUAAUACCGCAUACGACCUACGGGUGAAAGCAGGGGAUCUUCGGACCUUGCGCGAUUGAAUGAGCCGAUGUCGGAUUAGCUAGUUGGCGGGGUAAAGGCCCACCAAGGCGACGAUCCGUAGCUGGUCUGAGAGGAUGAUCAGCCACACUGGAACUGAGACACGGUCCAGACUCCUACGGGAGGCAGCAGUGGGGAAUAUUGGACAAUGGGCGCAAGCCUGAUCCAGCCAUACCGCGUGGGUGAAGAAGACCUUCGGGUUGUAAAGCCCUUUUGUUGGGAAAGAAAAGCAGCAGGUUAAUACCCCGCUGUUCUGACAGUACCCAAAGAAUAAGCACCGGCUAACUUCGUG
rnacentral:rRNA from 1 species